GAGGGGAUGGCUCAAGUGGUGGAGCACCUGCUUAGCAUGCACGAGGUCCUGGGUUCAAUCCCUAGUACCUCCU
rfam:Camelus ferus unplaced genomic scaffold scaffold2684, whole genome shotgun sequence.